UACGGAGGGUGCAAGCGUUGUCCGGAAUCACUGGGCGUAAAGGGCGCGUAGGCGGCUCAUGAAGGCUGUGGUGAAAGUCCGGGGCUCAACCUCGGAUCGGCCGUGGCGACUCGUGGGCUGGAGCACUGUAGAGGCCGGUGGAACUCCCGGUGUAGUGGUGAAAUGCGUAGAGAUCGGGAAGAACACCAGUGGCGAAGGCGGCCGGCUGGGGGCGCCCUGACGCUGAGGCGCGAGAGCGUGGGGAGCGAACCGG
rnacentral:rRNA from 1 species